rnacentral:rRNA from 1 species
UCCGUAGGUGAACCUGCGGAAGGAUUAUUAACGUAGGGCCCUAGCCCCGCUAAGAUAGAACCCUUGCCUUUUCAAGUACUAAAACGUUUCCUUAGCAGGCCCGCCUGCCAACAGGGACCCAAACACAAACCCUUAAACAACCUGUAACCGUCUAAGAAAAUAAAACAAAAAUCAAAACUUUUAAUAACAGAUCUCUUGGUUCUAGCAUUAAUAAAGAACGCAGUAAAAUGCGAUAAGUAGUGUGAAUUGCAGAAUUUAGUGAAUUAUUAAAUCUUUAAACGCACAUUGCGCCCUUUAGUAUUCCUUAGGGCAUGCCUGUUCAAGCGUUAUUUAACCCCUUAAGCUUAGCUUAGUGUUAGGCGUCCUGUCCCCUCUACCCCCUGUAAUAGGGGGCAGGGACUCGCCUUAAAUUAAUUAGCAGCUAGUACGUUGGCUUUGAGCGCAGCAGAAACGCGAACUUAGGGCCUAGCGAGCUGGCUCCUACAAGCCACACAUCUAACUUUUAACCUUAGAUUAGGUAGGGAUACCCGCUGAACUUAA